rnacentral:lncRNA from 1 species
AAGAGCCCUUUGGGAUUUAGGUGCCAUGAGCACUGUUAUCUGAGUACCUGAACAAUUUGUUGUGGAAACAAAAUCUAUCUCAUUGAUCAGGAAGGAUCCUUCGUCCGAUCAGUGAUCCUUCACAAUCAGUUCUGUUCCGAAUGGUAACUCUGUAGCUGGCUUUUGUCCAUGGAAGCUCUGAUAAAGGUUGAGAAAGAGGUCCCAUUUUUGGUGCAGUGAGAGAGAAAGAAGUCCUUCAAUUGGACGGUUCAGUUGGAAGAAUUGGGCAUUUGUUUAGUAUGCAUGAUAAAUAACAAAGCGACCCCCACACUC